ensembl:lncRNA
ACCGUCUGGAUGUUCCUCGUUCCUGUCUGCCUUUUUGUCCCCGGUUCUUGCGUGUGUUUUUGCCCGUAGGCCUUUUACUUUGUGGAGUUUUUCACUGUUAGUCUGUUUUUCGUUAAAGUCUGCUUUUGAGUCCUGCCUUCCUACCCAAACCCUGACUAAAUAGUCAUAGUAUGCUGGAACAUGCCAUACAAAUUCCUCUCCACCCACAUUCUGCAUGUAGAACCUCCACCUCCAGCCUCCAGCAGUGAACAGCAUCCAUCCUGGAGCAGCCAUCGCACUACAAGUAGAUCUCCAACCUCCUGCAGCCUCUGCCUGCACCUUCAAAUACUUGCUCUCAGGCACUGUCUGCACCUCCACCUCUACCUGAAGAUAUUCACUAACCUUUUGCAGAAACAUCCACCGUUUACAAAAUCAACGUACAAAUUCUCUAAUUUUUCAGAGGUUUCAGUUUAUCGACUGACUCAGUCUGGUGAAUAGAAUCUUUUAGAGAACAAACAGAUAAUAAGUGUAAUAAGAGUCUACCGGGCUGCUGGAUUCAAGCUUUUUAUUUUUAAAUAAUAACAAUCAACACACUU